GGCUCGGUGCCCUGGGCAUGCAGCAAAGAUGAUGACAACUCUCUUCUCCUCCUCUUGGACAGUCUUGUUAAUUUUGCUUGAGCGUUUGUGAUGAAUGUGUAGAGUAAGACCAUGCAGAUGAUAUCCUGUGAGGAGUCCGUAUGAGAGAAAUGCAUCUUGACCUCAGCAAACAGGCAGAGGAGAAGGAAAGAGACUAAAUGCUGCUUAUAGUCUACAUUUUAGGCACCUGCACUAAGUAUUGUAUCUGCUCCUCUCUACUCUAUUGUAACUCUCCACUCUCUAUUGAAACUACUCCUCUCCUGUGCUGGCAGUGAAGGCAGUCAGACUGGGCAGCCUAAACUGGGCUGGCCACACUGCUCUUAGACAGAAAUGUCAUCACUUUUGCAUGCCUAAUCAGAGCAUCUCUUUUAGGCUGCCUGA